AUUUUCAUUCAAAUUGUCCUGAACACAUUUGAUCUCACUUGAUUUCAGAAGUUAAAAUGAGACAGGACUGCUUAAUAUCUGGAUGGGAAAACAUUUGAGAACACUAGGUGGGGCUAGGAAAUC
rnacentral:rRNA from 11 species